UCCUUUUGUAUAUAAUUUAAGGUCUAGCCUGCCCACUGAAAUUUUAAAUGGCCGUGGUAUUUUGACCGUGCUAAGGUAGCAUAAUCAUUAGUUUUUUAAUUAAAAACUGGAAUGAAAGGUUGGAUGAGAAAAUAGCUGUCUCUAUUAAAUUUAAUUAGAAUUUUAUUUUUAAGUUAAAAAGCUUAAUUAUUAUUAAAAGACGAGAAGACCCUAUAGAGUUUAAUUAUUUAGUAAAAAUUAUAUUUUAGUAUUAAUUUAUUUAUUUUAUUAAAUAAUUUAAUUGGGGUGAUUGAAAAAUUUAAUUAACUUUUUUUAUUUAAGAACAUUAAUUUAUGAAUAAAUGAUCCAAUAUUUUUGAUUAUAAGAUAAAAUUACCUUAGGGAUAACAGCGUAAUUUUUUUAGAAAGUUCAUAUUAAAAAAAAAGAUUGCGACCUCGAUGUUGGAUUAAAAUAAAUUUUUGGUGUAGAAGCUAAAAUAUUAGGUCUGUUCGACCUUUAAAAUUUUACAUGAU
rnacentral:rRNA from 3 species